rnacentral:rRNA from 1 species
CCUACGGGGGGCAGCAGUGGGGAAUAUUGGACAAUGGAGGAAACUCUGAUCCAGCCAUGCCGCGUGAAUGAUGAAGGCCUUCGGGUUGUAAAGUUCUUUUGCAGGGGAGGCGGUACCCUGAGAAUAAGCUCCGGCUAACUUCGUGCCAGCAGCCGCGGUAAUACGAAGGGAGCUAGCGUUGUUCGGAAUUACUGGGCGUAAAGGGCGCGUAGGCGGUUUAACAAGUUGGAUGUGAAAGCCCAGGGCUCAACCCUGGAACUGCAUUCAAGACUGUUUUACUUGAAUUCGGUAGAGGUUAGUGGAAUUCCCAGUGUAGAGGUGAAAUUCGUAGAUAUUGGGAAGAAUAUCCGUGGCGAAGGCGGCUAACUGGACCGAAUUGACGCUGAGGCGCGAAAGCGUGGGGAGCAAACAGGAUUAGAUACCCUUGUAGUC